AAAACGAUGACCGCAUAUGCAUCGAAAGCGAAGCCUUCAGAGUUGGUAGAUUGUAUCGGUGUCCUUUUUGUGCAAUACAGUACAGAAUACAUUCUGAAACUUGUGUUGGGGAGGAUUCAAU
rnacentral:lncRNA from 1 species